rnacentral:rRNA from 1 species
UGGGGAAUAUUGGACAAUGGGCGAAAGCCUGAUCCAGCAAUGCCGCGUGUGUGAAGAAGGCCUUCGGGUUGUAAAGCACUUUAAGCGAGGAGGAAGUGCCAUCGGCAAAUACCCGGUGGUGUUGACGUUACUCGCAGAAUAAGCACCGGCUAACUCUGUGCCAGCAGCCGCGGUAAUACAGAGGGUGCAAGCGUUAAUCGGAAUUACUGGGCGUAAAGCGCGCGUAGGCGGUUUGUUAAGUCUGUUGUGAAAUCCCUGGGCUCAACCUGGGAAUGGCGAUGGAUACUGGCAAGCUAGAGUAUGAGAGAGGUGGGUAGAAUUCCAGGUGUAGCGGUGAAAUGCGUAGAUAUCUGGAGGAAUACCGGUGGCGAAGGCGGCCCACUGGCUCAAUACUGACGCU